GGAAGUGAGCGGCUGGCAGCGGGGAGCGGGGGUAGGGAGCGGCGGCGGCGGCGGCGUGAGUCAGUCAGGCGGGCAAGCAGGCGGGCGGGCAGUCUGUCAGACCGUCUGCCCGUCAGUCCAUCCGGCGGCCGCAGCACAACAGCAGGAUUGAAGAACUGGAUUCAGAUCAUUGAUUGUAUGAUUUUGAACUACAAGGGACCUCAAAUGUCCUCUGGCCCAGCCCAC
rnacentral:lncRNA from 1 species